CUACAGGAUACGGCGUAAACGUGUUAAAGCGCUACAUCAAAUAGGGUUAAAUUCUAAUUAAACUGUAAAAAGCCAUAAUUACAACAAAAAUAAAUGACGAAAGUAACCCUACUGCAGCUGACACACUAUAGCUAAGACCCAAACUGGGAUUAGAUACCCCACUAUGCUUAGCCCUAAACACUAAUAAUUAUAAAAAACAAAAUUAUUCGCCAGAGUACUACCGGCAACAGCCCGAAACUCAAAGGACUUGGCGGUGCUUUAUACCCUUCUAGAGGAGCCUGUUCUAUAAUCGAUAAACCCCGAUAAACCUCACCAAUCCUUGCUAAUACAGUCUAUAUACCGCCAUCUUCAGCAAACCCUAAAAAGGAACAAAAGUAAGCUCAAUCACAACACAUAAAGACGUUAGGUCAAGGUGUAACCUAUGGAAUGGGAAGAAAUGGGCUACAUUUUCUACUUCAAGAAAACCAAUACGAAAGCCAUUAUGAAAUUAAUGGCCAAAGGAGGAUUUAGUAGUAAACUAGGAAUAGAGUGCUUAGUUGAAUUAGGCCAUGAAGCACGCACACACCGCCCGUCACCCUCCUCAAGUAAAUACAAUGCACUUAAACCUAUUUACACGCACCAAUCACAUGAGAGGAGAUAA
rnacentral:rRNA from 1 species